GACAGAGAGAGAAAGAGAGGGGGGGUUGGGAGAGAGAGAGCCAGAGAGAGAGGGCGUGGGAGAUGGUGAGAGAGAGACAGAGAGAGAGAGAUAGAGAGAGGGGUGGGGGGAGAGGGAGAGAGAUGGAGGGAGGGGAGGGAAAGAGAGAGACAGAGAGAGAGGGGGGGGAGGGAGAGAGAGAGAGAGGGAGAGAGAGGGAGAGACAGAGAGGGGGGGAGGGAGAGAGAGAGAGCGAGAGAGAGAGAGAGAGACAGAGAGAGAGAGAGCGGGGGGAGAGAGAGACAGUGAGAGAGAGGGAGAGAGAGAGAGAGAGAGAGAGAGGGGAGGGAGAGAGAGAGAGAGAGCGGGGAGAGAGAGAGAGAGAGAGCGGGGGGAGAGAGAGAGAGACAGAGAGAGAGAGAGAGAGAGAGAGAGAGAGAGAGGGGAGGGAGAGAGAGAGAGCGGGGAGAGAGAGAGAGAGAGAGCGGGGGGAGAGAGAGACAGUGAGAGAGAGAGAGAGACAGAGAGAGAGAGAGCGGGGGGAGAGAGAGACAGUGAGAGAGAGAGAGAGAGAGAGAGAGAGAGAGAGAGAGAGGGGAGGGAGAGAGAGAGAGAGAGCGGGGAGAGAGAGAGAGAGAGAGCGGGGGGAGAGAGAGAGAGACAGAGAGAGAGAGAGAGAGAGAGAGAGAGAGAGAGAGAGAGAGCGGGGGGAGAGAGAGACAGAGAGAGAGAGGGAGAGAGAGAGAGAGAGAGAGAGAGAGAGAAGAGAGAGAGAGAAGCGGGGAGAGAGAGAGGGGGGAGAGAGGGGGGUGAGAGAGAGAGCGGGGAGAGAGAGAGAGAGAGAGCGGGGGAGAGAGAGAGAGACAGAGAGAGAGAGAGAGACAGAGAGAGAGAGAGAGCGGGGGGAGAGAGAGAGAGACAGAGAGAGAGAGAGAGAGCAGGGGGAGAAAGGCCAGAUAGAGGAAAUGAAUGACAGAGGGAAGUCAGCCCCAGUAGAAUGUCUCCUGAACACUGGAGAGGAAGAAAAGACAAGACGGAGGGAAGAGGAAGAAAAAGACCAGACUGAAGAGAAGAUAACAGACACAAGUCCAGACCUCCCUCACGAACACAACAACACUACUCCAUGCAGUGGCACAGACGGUCCAACCCUACUCUAUGCAGUGGUCCAACCCUACUCUAUGCAGUGGCACAGGCGGUCCAACCCUACUCUAUGCAGUGGCACAGGCGGUCCAACCCUACUCUAUGCAGUGGUCCAACCCUACUCUAUGCAGUGGUCCAACCCUACUCUAUGCAGUGGCACAGGCGGUCCAACCCUACUCUAUGCAGUGGUCAAACCCUACUCUAUGCAGUGGCACAGGCGGUCCAACCCUACUCUAUGCAGUGGCACAGACGGUCCAAUCCAAUAAGUGACCCAAUGAUCCAAAGCCUCUGUGUAACCUCAUUCAGUU
rnacentral:lncRNA from 1 species